rnacentral:rRNA from 1 species
CCCUAUGGGGUGCAGCAGGCGCGAAACCUCUGCAAUAGGCGAAAGCUUGACAGGGUUACUCUGAGUGAUGCCCGCUAAGGGCAUCUUUUGGCACCUCUAAAAAUGGUGCAGAAUAAGGGGUGGGCAAGUCUGGUGUCAGCCGCCGCGGUAAUACCAGCACCCCGAGUGGUCGGGACGAUUAUUGGGCCUAAAGCAUCCGUAGCUUGUCCUGCAAGUCCUCCGUUAAAUCCACCUGCUCAACAGAUGGGCUGCGGAGGAUACUACAGGGCUAGGAGGCGGGAGAGGCAAGCGGUACUCAGUGGGUAGGGGUAAAAUCCUCUGAUCCACUGAAGACCACCAGUGGCGAAGGCGGCUUGCCAGAACGCGCUCGACGGUGAGGGAUGAAAGCUGGGGGAGCAAACCGGAUUAGAUACCCGGGUAGUCCCAGCUGUAAACGAUGCAGACUCGGUGAUGGGUUGGCUUCGCGCCAACCCAGUGCCGCAGGGAAGCCGUUAAGUCUGCCGCCUGGGGAGUACGGUCGCAAGACUGAAGCUUAAAGGAAUUGGCGGGGGAGCACCACAAGGGGUGAAGCCUGCGGUUCAAUUGGAGUCAACGCCGGGAAUCUUACCGGGGGCGACAGCAGUGUGAAGGUCAAGCUGAAGACUU